rnacentral:rRNA from 1 species
UUAAGCGACUAAGCGUACACGGUGGAUGCCCUGGCAGUCAGAGGCGAUGAAGGGCGUGCUAAUCUGCGAAAAGCGCCGGUAAGGUGAUAUGAACCGUUAUAACCGGCGAUACCCGAAUGGGGAAACCCAGUGUGACUCGUCACACUAUCAUUAACUGAAUUCAUAGGUUAAUGAGGCGAACCGGGGGAACUGAAACAUCUAAGUACCCCGAGGAAAAGAAAUCAACCGAGAUUCCCCCAGUAGCGGCGAGCGAACGGGGAGGAGCCCAGAGCCUGAAUCAGCAUGUGUGUUAGUGGAAGCGUCUGGAAAGGCGCGCGAUACAGGGUGACAGCCCCGUACACAAAAGCGCAUGUGCUGUGAGCUCGAUGAGUAGGGCGGGACACGUGGUAUCCUGUCUGAAUAUGGGGGGACCAUCCUCCAAGGCUAAAUACUCCUGACUGACCGAUAGUGAACCAGUACCGUGAGGGAAAGGCGAAAAGAACCCCGGCGAGGGGAGUGAAAAAGAACCUGAAACCGUGUACGUACAAGCAGUGGGAGCACAGGUUUACCUGUGUGACUGCGUACCUUUUGUAUAAUGGGUCAGCGACUUAUAUUCUGUAGCAAGGUUAACCGAAUAGGGGAGCCGGAGGGAAACCGAGUCUUAACCGGGCGUUAAGUUGCAGGGUAUAGACCCGAAACCCGGUGAUCUAGCCAUGGGCAGGUUGAAGGUUGGGUAACACUAACUGGAGGACCGAACCGACUAAUGUUGAAAAAUUAGCGGAUGACCUGUGGCUGGGGGUGAAAGGCCAAUCAAACCGGGAGAUAGCUGGUUCUCCCCGAAAGCUAUUUAGGUAGCGCCUCGUGAAUUCAUCUCCGGGGGUAGAGCACUGUUUCGGCUAGGGGGCCAUCCCGGCUUACCAACCCGAUGCAAACUGCGAAUACCGGAGAAUGUUAUCACGGGAGACACACGGCGGGUGCUAACGUCCGUCGUGAAGAGGGAAACAACCCAGACCGCCAGCUAAGGUCCCAAAGUCAUGGUUAAGUGGGAAACGAUGUGGGAAGGCCCAGACAGCCAGGAUGUUGGCUUAGAAGCAGCCAUCAUUUAAAGAAAGCGUAAUAGCUCACUGGUCGAGUCGGCCUGCGCGGAAGAUGUAACGGGGCUAAACCAUGCACCGAAGCUGCGGCAGCGACACUGUGUGUUGUUGGGUAGGGGAGCGUUCUGUAAGCCUGCGAAGGUGGCCUGUGAGGGUUGCUGGAGGUAUCAGAAGUGCGAAUGCUGACAUAAGUAACGAUAAAGCGGGUGAAAAGCCCGCUCGCCGGAAGACCAAGGGUUCCUGUCCAACGUUAAUCGGGGCAGGGUGAGUCGACCCCUAAGGCGAGGCCGAAAGGCGUAGUCGAUGGGAAACGGGUUAAUAUUCCCGUACUUGGUGUUACUGCGAAGGGGGGACGGAGAAGGCUAUGUUGGCCGGGCGACGGUUGUCCCGGUUUAAGCGUGUAGGCUGGUUUUCCAGGCAAAUCCGGAAAAUCAAGGCUGAGGCGUGACGACGAGGCACUACGGUGCUGAAGCAACAAAUGCCCUGCUUCCAGGAAAAGCCUCUAAGCAUCAGGUAACAUCAAAUCGUACCCCAAACCGACACAGGUGGUCAGGUAGAGAAUACCAAGGCGCUUGAGAGAACUCGGGUGAAGGAACUAGGCAAAAUGGUGCCGUAACUUCGGGAGAAGGCACGCUGACACGUAGGUGAAGUGAUUUACUCAUGGAGCUGAAGUCAGUCGAAGAUACCAGCUGGCUGCAACUGUUUAUUAAAAACACAGCACUGUGCAAACACGAAAGUGGACGUAUACGGUGUGACGCCUGCCCGGUGCCGGAAGGUUAAUUGAUGGGGUCAGCGCAAGCGAAGCUCCUGAUCGAAGCCCCGGUAAACGGCGGCCGUAACUAUAACGGUCCUAAGGUAGCGAAAUUCCUUGUCGGGUAAGUUCCGACCUGCACGAAUGGCGUAAUGAUGGCCAGGCUGUCUCCACCCGAGACUCAGUGAAAUUGAACUCGCUGUGAAGAUGCAGUGUACCCGCGGCAAGACGGAAAGACCCCGUGAACCUUUACUAUAGCUUGACACUGAACAUUGAGCCUUGAUGUGUAGGAUAGGUGGGAGGCUUUGAAGUGUGGACGCCAGUCUGCAUGGAGCCAACCUUGAAAUACCACCCUUUAAUGUUUGAUGUUCUAACGUGGACCCGUAAUCCGGGUUGCGGACAGUGUCUGGUGGGUAGUUUGACUGGGGCGGUCUCCUCCUAAAGAGUAACGGAGGAGCACGAAGGUUGGCUAAUCCUGGUCGGACAUCAGGAGGUUAGUGCAAUGGCAUAAGCCAGCUUGACUGCGAGCGUGACGGCGCGAGCAGGUGCGAAAGCAGGUCAUAGUGAUCCGGUGGUUCUGAAUGGAAGGGCCAUCGCUCAACGGAUAAAAGGUACUCCGGGGAUAACAGGCUGAUACCGCCCAAGAGUUCAUAUCGACGGCGGUGUUUGGCACCUCGAUGUCGGCUCAUCACAUCCUGGGGCUGAAGUAGGUCCCAAGGGUAUGGCUGUUCGCCAUUUAAAGUGGUACGCGAGCUGGGUUUAGAACGUCGUGAGACAGUUCGGUCCCUAUCUGCCGUGGGCGCUGGAGAACUGAGGGGGGCUGCUCCUAGUACGAGAGGACCGGAGUGGACGCAUCACUGGUGUUCGGGUUGUCAUGCCAAUGGCACUGCCCGGUAGCUAAAUGCGGAAGAGAUAAGUGCUGAAAGCAUCUAAGCACGAAACUUGCCCCGAGAUGAGUUCUCCCUGAGACUUAAAGUCUCCUGAAGGAACGUUGAAGACGACGACGUUGAUAGGCCGGGUGUGUAAGCGCAGCGAUGCGUUGAGCUAACCGGUACUAAUGAACCGUGAGGCUUAACCUU